AUGCUUGAUUCAACAGCACAUAUGCUAAAAUUGGAAUGAUACAGAGAAGAUUAGCAUGGCCCCUGCACAAGGAUAAUACACAAAUUUGCGAAGCGUUCCAUAUUUAA
ensembl:snRNA U6 U6 spliceosomal RNA